GCCCGCGUAGCUUUAGUUGGUAGAGCAGGGCAUUCGUAAUGCUCAGGUCGGGGGUUCGAAUCCUCUCGCGGGCU
rnacentral:tRNA from 1 species